rnacentral:misc_RNA from 1 species
AAGUCGUAACAAGGUAACCGUAGGUGAACCUGCGGUUGGAUCAUUACCAAUCUGUGACAUUCUGAUUCUGGGGUUGUGGCCAUCAUAACAAAACCACCUUUCUAUUUAUGAUUUGGUAGCCUUGCGUUUGUUCUGGACGUGCCUGCGAGCUUUCGCGGCCGGACCCCCUUGCGACACGUCCAGUUCCGUGUUCGUUUUUCCUUUGUGGAAAACGAGCCCAAGCUACCAAUCGGAAGCGGCCUCCCGUCAAAACGGAGGCUCUUUCCACUUGCAACACUUUAUUUACCUCUACAGGCUAAUACAUGUAGUGUUUUGUCCAACGAUGAAACGUUUAUAAAAAAAAUUGUAAAAACAACUUUUGACAACGGAUCUCUUGGCUCUC